rnacentral:rRNA from 1 species
CAAUAGCGUAUAUUAAAGUUGUUGCAGUUAAAAAGCUCGUAGUUGGAUUUCUGGCAGGAGCGACCGGUCACACACUCUGUGUGUGAACUUGUGUUGUCUCUGGCCAUCCUUGGGGAGAUCCUGUUUGGCAUUAAGUUGUCGGGCAGGGGACAUCCAUCGUUUACUGUGAAAAAAUUAGAGUGUUUAAAGCAGGCUUAUGCCGUUGAAUAUAUUAGCAUGGAAUAAUAAGAUAGGACUUCGGAACUAUUUUGUUGGUUUGCGUUACGAAGUAAUGAUUAAUAGGGACAGUUGGGGGUAUUCGUAUUUCGUUGUCAGAGGUGAAAUUCUUGGAUUUCCGAAAGACGAACUACUGCGAAAGCAUUUACCAAGGAUGUUAUCAUUAA